rnacentral:rRNA from 1 species
UACGUAGGGUGCAAGCGUUAAUCGGAAUUACUGGGCGUAAAGCGUGCGCAGGCGGUGAUGUAAGACAGGUGUGAAAUCCCCGGGCUUAACCUGGGAACUGCAUUUGUGACUGCAUCGCUGGAGUGCGGCAGAGGGGGGAUGGAAUUCCGCGUGUAGCAGUGAAAUGCGUAGAUAUGCGGAGGAACACCGAUGGCGAAGGCAAUCCCCUGGGCCUGCACUGACGCUCAUGCACGAAAGCGUGGGGAGCGAAACAAG